rnacentral:piRNA from 1 species
UAGAAAAUGAUGAAAUAAAACAACAAUU